rnacentral:lncRNA from 1 species
UUUUUUUUUUUUGCUAUUGAGUUAUAUAGGUUCGUUACAUAGAUAUUAAUCCAUUAUCAGAUAUGUGAUUUGCAACUAUUUUCUCCCAUUCUUUAGGCUGCUUUUUAAUUUUGUUGACUGUGUCUUUUGCUGUGUGGAUGCUUAUUAGUUUGAUGUAGUCCAACUUUAUUUUUGUUUUUAUUGCUUAUGCUUUUGGUGUCAUAUCAAAAAAUCCUUGCCAUGACUAAUGUCAAUCAAUGUUUCUAUAUUUUCUUCUAUUAAUUUUAUGAUUUCAAGUCUUACAUGGAAGUCCUUGAUACAUUUAGGGUUAAUUUCUGAGCAAUGUAAAGUACGGGUCCAAUUGCAUUUUUUUGCAUAUGAAUAUUCAGUUUAACCAAAACCAUUUAUUGAGGAGAUUAUCCCAUGUAUUCUCAGCUCCAUUGUCAAAAAUUAGUUGACCUAUAAUAGGAGUUAUUUCUAGGUUCUUGAUCCUUUUCCACUGAUGUAUUUUUUUUUUAAUGCCAGCACCAUGCUGUUUUAUUUACUGUAGCUUGGUAAUAAAGUUUGAAAGCAGGAAAUAUGAUUUAGCAAGAUUUGUUCUUUCUCAGAAUUGCUUUGGCUAUUUCAGUUCUUUGGGAGUUCCAUGUGAAUUUUAGGAAUGUUUUUCUAUUUCUGUGAAAAAUGACAUUGAAAUUUUGAAAAAAUUGCAUUGAAUCUGUAGCAUAUUGGCACCGUGACUACAGGGGCUGGCCACUGGCAUUUUAUCAAUGGUAGAAGCCACUGAUGGUAUUUGGAGCUAGCAGUGAGCAAGUAUGAUAUUAUAGAAGCAGUGAGCAAGUAUGAUGUUGCCAGCACAUGCAGGAGUGCAGGUCAUUGACAGGAGACAGGGAAUCUCUAGGCACUUGGGCAGCUAUGUAUGCCAGGGUUUCAUCUUGUACUCAUGUGGCAUCUAUGGCUAGCCAUGGACCCAUAUGUGGCAGUAGAGGCUAGUGAUGGGCACUGGGCCUGGUGGUGUACAGGUGCACAGCUACAGGGGCUAGAUAUAGUCACAAGCACAGUAAUGGAGGAGAGUGACAGGUGUUGGAACUGGGACCAUAUGGAUGUAUAACUGCAGGAGCUAGCUGUGAGCAUAGGCAGCAAUGAAGACCUGUGACACAAAUUCGGCCACGUCCUUGGCCUAAGAGCAGCCAUGGAGGCUUUGGUUGUCAGUGUGCACUCCUGUGGCUACAGGGCCUGCAAUGGGCACAGGCACUGCAGUGGAGGUGGGUGACAGAAAUCAGAGCUGAUGGCAUGCAAGUACAUAGCUGCAGGAGUGAUCUGUACAUGCACGGAGAUGUUUGGGACAGUGACAGGAGCCAGAACCAGAUAAGGCUGAUAAGCAUGUAGCUGCUUCUUAAAUGUGAAUGUACCUCUUUUAUGUAAAGCCAAAUUAGCUUGGAGAGUUGCCAAAAUAAUAUUUUACAAAAAUUUAAUGAGGAAUAAAAAUACAAUAUUCAUAGCAGUCAGUACUAACUGGAGAAUGACACCACAAAGCAGUGAUGCAGUUACAUAGAAGUGAGAAAAAAAUGCAUAACUAGAAGAAAUAGAAUUUUAAACCAUAAGUAGACCACAUUUUCUUUGGCUUUCCUUUUAGGACAUAAAGUACUAUGCUGAAAUAGGCUGGAUACCCAGAAAAGUUUUAACAGGUAAAGCCAUCUGGUCAUUAAUCUGCCUUGAAAUUUCUGAAAGGUGCUGAGGGCAAAGCAGCAGAUGUCAUUAGUGAACUGUGUAGUGAUAAUAAUCAAAAAAUUUCCUUCUGCCUUAGCAUGUGAAACAAAGAAAGAAAAGGGAAUUAACACAGGAAGAGGAAUUUAGAUGUCCUCAUAAUUUUAAUCUAAAAGAAAAAAAAAGAUUAUUUGGUUGAGCUUCAUAUUUGCAUUUAUUUCUACAAGAUUUAUAAAAGUUGGGAAAUGUCUACUGAAUGGGAACAAAUAUAUUAUGUUUUCUAGUAGGAUAUAGUCUAUAGUAUAUAUGUGUGUGUAUAUAUACACACAUACUCACAGUUAUCUACUAAAUGUGGACAUUAUUGUUACCAAUGUCAUAUAUUAAUAAUGACAAAUAAUAGAAUAUUUUCUUUUAAGGUAUAGUUCUUAACUGAGAGUGACUUUACUGCCCAAGGGACAUUUUUCAAAAAUGGAGACAUUUUUGGUUGUCACAACUGAGGGGUGUUACUGUCAUUUAGGGGGUAGAGGACAGGGAUGCUGCCAAACAUACUACAAUGCACAGGGCAGCCCCUACAAUAAAAAAUCUUCUGGCCCCAAAUAUCAGUAGUGCUGAGACUGAGAAAUUUUGUUUUAACAAAAAUAUUCUAUUUUAAUUAUUUUCAAAUCUAAUGUGGCUAUAACACAACCCAGAAUUUUUAAGUUACAAAAAUCAGUAGGAUUGAGCUCGUUAUUAAAAAUAAAAUAAAAUCUUUUUGCAGAAUUCCUUCCAUACAAAUCGAUGAGUUGCAAAAAUGAGGAUAGAUUCUGUAUUACACAGUGAUACUUUAGAUAUUUAUAAAUCAGUUUAUAUAUUAGUGCUUUCAAUGCCCUUUAAAUGCAAGAAAUGCAUGUAUAAGCAUAUAUAUACACACAUGUAUGUAUAUAUGCAUAUAUAGAUGAUCUAGCAGUGAAGACAAAUCUUUCCUCUUGAGAGAAUUUGGAACCUCAGAGAACUUAAAAGAGGUGAAUAUUUUUUUAGGUCUUAUAAAAUCUACAGCUACAGAGACAUAAUGUCCAAGAAGUUAGGUUAAGGCAUCUGUUCUCCUUAGGGAGAGUUAGAGGAAGGGAGAGUUAAAGAGUUAGGCUUCAAAAGUUAAUAACAUAGAGAAUUCUGGGAAUGGAAUUAUGCUUUGGGUUAAUAGAGUUCAAUUUAUCAAUAACCUAUUAUAUUAAAUCAUAACUAUUCAGUGAAAGCUUUAAAACAACUGCAAAAAUAUUGUUGUUUUUGUCUUCUACAUGAUUACAAAUUUCUGAGACUAUCUGGAAAUCAUAAGUGUUAAAGGAUUGAUGUUAGAGUGGUCUAGUUCCAUGCUUCUACUAUUCUUACUUCAUUGACUUAUGCUACACUUGUCUGAUUGCUCUGUCCUCUUAAUUAUUUUCUAAGAAUCAAAGAAUAGAAGAAUUACUUAUUUUGUCCUUACAAAGAUGACUUCCUUAUGACAGAGAAACUGUUUAGAAGUGCCUGGAGUUCCUGCUUUGACACAAUGGGGUAAGAAUCCAACUGCCCAUGGCUCAGUCACUGUGGAGGUAUGGGUGCACUCCAUAGCCCAGCACAGUGGGUUGAAGGAUCCAGCCACCCAGGUGUGGCUCAGAUGGAUUCAGUCCCUAGCCCAGGAACUUCCAUGUAAAAAAAAAAUUGCUGUAAGUAUAUCAGCAGGGGGAAUGUAUUGAUUGCAGUGUAUCAGUCAUCUGAAAUACUGCUAUGAAAUAUUUUGGCAAUCUAUAAUUUUUCAGGCUUUCAAAAAGGAAACAACAUCUUCCUAUAAACCUGAUUGAAUUAAUUAUACAGAUGCCAAUAAAACACCAUAUGAGCCAUUUGUCUUUUAUUAUGCAUAAUGCUAAGAUAGAAAUAUUCUGUGUUCACACGUGAUUGAUUAAAAUAUCUUUUCAAUUAAAAAAUGUUUUGAAACAAAAAGAAGCUUUUGUGGUAUCAAUUUUUAAAAAUGUGGUUAAGAGCAUUUAUCACAGAAGAGCAGUUUCUGAACACAGUCUGGAUAAAACAGACCAAAUACAAGAGUUUGCUUUUGGUUAUUGGGGAAUAAAAAGCAGCAGAGUCUCCAUAUAGUCUUUUAUAUAUCCCUUUUAUUACUUUGCUCUUCUCUGUGUUUUUGUGUGUUUUUGUUAUCAGAUGACCUAGAUAAUUUCAAGAACAAUUUAUAUUUUCAAGGAGGUUGGUUGGAAUCUGAAAACUUCAUCAAGUUGUCAUAUUGGAAAAGAACGUGGACUUUUCAUUUAAAUGUAGAAUAUUAUGGUGGGGAUGUUUUCAAUUUAAAUGUAUGUACAUCUUUGCUUGGUAUUUAAUAAACCACUUAAAAGUACUAAGGCUUUGUGUUCCCAUAGCUGUCGAAUAGGCUGUGGUAUUUCUUAAGCACUAGAAAAUAGUGGUAUGGCGAAAGGGAGAGCAUGUUUAAACCUGCAAAUUCAGACACUUCUGGGGGGUGAAAGGAAGUUUCUCUAUGCUCAAGUCUUCCCUAAAAUAAACAGACUUCCUUUUCCAACUGUUGGGCCUGAGAGUCAUUCAUCCUACCCAUUCAGUCCCUCUGUAUCCAGAGUACACUGAUAACAGAGGGAUCCCAGCUCCUCUCCAGUGCUCACAUGUUAUCAUAUAUAUCAAAGAAAUCACUGUGUAUAACAGGAAUGUGGAUAACAGAUACCUGAGAAAGAGUGUGGAUCAGGAAACAUAUGGGGAAAAACACAGGAGAUAAGGAAGGUGAGUGUUUCGGUGAGGAAAUCAGAGUUAAAGUUACUGAGUGAGAUGAUUUGAAAGAGCUUAAGGCAGCAGGACUCUUGGAGAGGGAAGGCAAAAGGACUUAGGGCUCUUGCUAUGAGCUAUAAAUUAGCCUUAAGUGGAUGUGAGAAGAUGAAAGUACAUAUUCUACUUUUACAUUGUUUAUAGCACUUCUCUGAAUUCAAUACUGCAGUAAGAUUAAAACAUAAGGAAUUCCAGAAUUAGUUCAAAUACAUUUACAUCUGCUUAAUUAUUUAAAUUCUAAAAAGCCGAUAGUCAGGUCCUUGCAUUCAAAUUGCCAUUUUAGCCAGAAGUCUAUUCUGUAUUUCUAAAGUAACACAGAAAGGCUGUAUUUUCAAAAUUUAUUAGAAAAAAAUAUUUAGGGCUCUAAAUCAUCUAAAUAGAUGCUUGAAUAUCUCAUAUUAUCGCAUGCGUAGGAAUACCCUAUUUUGUGCUAAUAAAUAAAGCACAUGGUUCUUAUUUACUGUUAAAAUCCUAGUAAAUGUAAUGUCAUUAUAUUAAAUUCCCAGGAAAGAUGGAUGGCUAUAGGAAAAAUAUGGCUUAUGGACUUCAUUUUUUUUCUUUCCGAAUUUAGAGUGUAUUUUUUUCUUUGUUUCUUCUGUAGGCUUCUCUAUCAAUCAGGAGGUUCCUAUAAUCUAGACUUGAGUUUCAUGAAGAAAAGUUAUUCCUAAGAAUCUGAAACAUGAUGUACAAAAAAUAUGGUUUACAACAAAUAUGUUCCCAAAGACUCACACUUCUGUGCUACAUCAGAAUGCUAAUGUCCUUUGAGCAACAGCCAGAAUUUCUAAGUGUGUGGUUUGUGCGCUCUUUUUUUACAAACCAAGAACUGCUAGUUACAAAAUGCAAAUAAGUUUUAUUAACAAAGAUCAACUGGAAAUUGCUAUGGACUGAAUUGUGUUGCCCUGAAAUUCAUAUGUUGAAGUCCAGUGUGACUGUAUUUGGAGGUAGGCUUUUUGGUGGUAAUUAAGGUUAAAUGAGGUUGUAAGAGCUGUGCCCUAAUUCACUAGGAUGAAUGCCUUUAUAAAAAGACAGAUCUCACUUUCACCAUAUGUACACUCUGAGAAAAAAGCAUGUGAGAACACAGAAGGCAGACAACUGCAAGGAAGGAAGAGGGCUAUGACCUUGAUCUUAGACAUCCAAGCCUUCAGAAAUGUAAGAAAAUAAAUAUCUGUUGUUUAAGCUACCAGUCUAUAGUAUUUUGUUAAAGCAGCCUGAGAAAACAAAUAGAAAUUUUAGUAUAACGAGAUACACGGGAUUAAGAUGGCAGAAUAGAAGGACUGGAGCUCACCUUCUAUCAUAAAAACAGCAAAUUACAACCAAAUGCUGAACAACCUUCAACUAAGUGGACUGGAAACUUUCACAAAGAUAUACUGCUCCAGAGACAAAGAGGAGGCUACAUCAAGACAGUAGAAGGGGCAAUUAUGUGAUAUAAACAACUCUGCCAGGUGGCCAGCCAAUAGACUGGAAAGUAGCUGUAUCACAGAGACUCACCUACAGGAGUGAGAGUUUAGAAGUCCCCACUUCAGGUCCCCACUCCCUGACAUUGGGAGAAAGAGCCCCCAGAGCAUCUGGCAUCAAAAUUAAUACACAGAUAUCAAUUGCAUUUCUAUACACUAACAAUGAAAAAUCAGAAAGAGAAAUUAGGGAAACGAUCCCACUACCAUCACAUCAAAAAAAAAAAAAAAA